AACAAACGCUGGCGGCGUGCCUAACACAUGCAAGUCGUACGAGAAAGGGUCUUUCGGGAUCUGAGUAAAGUGGCGCACGGGUGAGUAACGCGUGGAUAAUCUGCCCUUCAGUUGGGAAUAACUCAUCGAAAGGUGGGCUAACACCGAAUAAUGCUGUGAGACCUCGGUUGAUCAGCCAAAGAGAGCCUCUGCUUGCAAGCCCUUGCUGAAGGAUGAGUCCGCGUACCAUUAGCUAGUUGGUAGGGUAAUGGCCUACCAAGGCGACGAUGGUUAGCGUGUCUGAGAGGAUGAUCAGCCACACUGGAACUGAGACACGGUCCAAACUCCUACGGGAGGCAGCAGUGAGGAAUCUUGCGCAAUGGGGGAAACCCUGACGCAGCAACGCCGCGUGAGUGAGGAAGGUCUUCGGAUCGUAAAGCUCUGUCGGAUGGAAAGAGCCGCAUAGGGGUAAACAGCCCCUGUGUCUGACGGUACCAUCAAAGGAAGCACCGGCUAACUCCGUGCCAGCCGCCGCGGUAA
rnacentral:rRNA from 1 species